rnacentral:rRNA from 1 species
AGUGUUCAAUUUUGAACUGUGGUAGGUGAGUAAUGUUCCCUACUAGAAAGGAGAGGGCAAGGCUGGUGCCAGCCGCCGCGGUAAAACCAGCUCUUCAAGUGGUCGGGAUAAUUAUUGGGCUUAAAGUGUCCGUAGCCGGUUUAGUAAGUUCCUGGUAAAAUCGGGUAGCUUAACUAUCUAUAUGCUAGGAAUACUACUAUACUAGAGGGCGGGAGAGGUCUGAGGUACUGCAGGGGUAGGGGUGAAAUCUUAUAAUCCUUGUUGGACCACCAGUGGCGAAGGCGUCAGACUGGAACGCGCCUGACGGUGAGGGACGAAAGCCAGGGGAGCGAACCGGAUUAGAUACCCGGGUAGUCCUGGCCGUAAACGAUGCAUACUAGGUGAUGGCACGGCCAUGAGCCGUGUCAGUGCCGUAGGGAAACCGUUAAGUGU